CCUACGGGAGGCAGCAGUGAGGAAUAUUGGUCAAUGGGCGCGAGCCUGAACCAGCCAAGUCGCGUGAGGGAGGACGGCCCUACGGGUUGUAAACCUCUUUUGCCGGGGAGCAACGGGCGCCACGUGUGGCGUCACUGAGAGUACCCGGAGAAAAAGCAUCGCCGAACGCCGUGCCAGCAGCCGCGGGAAUACGGGGGAUGCGAGCGUUAUCCGGAUUUAUUGGGUUUAAAGGGUGCGUAGGGGGAAUGCCAAGUCAGCGGUAAAAUCGCGGGGCUCAACCGCGCCCCGCCGUUGAAACUGGGGUGGGUGAGUGGGCGAGAGGGAUGCGGAAUGCGUGGUGUAGCGGUGAAAUGCAGAGAUAUCACGCAGAACGCCGAUGGCGAAGGCAGCAGGCCGGGGCCCGACUGACGCUGAGGCGCGAAAGCGUGGGUAUCGAACAGGAUUAGAUACCCGAGUAGUC
rnacentral:rRNA from 1 species